AUAUAAUCUUAUGCGGGCUUGCUUGCAUUAUUUACUCUCUCUUCUUAAAUCCUGAGAGACGGACAGGAUGAAAGACACCAACUUGUUGAUUUUUCAGAGUUGGGUGGUUUGGCUUACAUGGGAGGGGAUAGAGUCCAUCAUCUCAACCAUUCAUGAUCUGAAACUAUUGCAGUUGCUUAUUUCAAGCAAUUCUUGUUUGGGUAGAAAACUAGAAAUUAUAAGAAAAGCUAAUAACUGGAGACCAUCUAAAUCAUAUUAAUUAGUUAGGUAGGAGACCUUGUGGAGCCAUAAUUUUUGAAGAAAAAGAAAAGGAAAAAAAA
rnacentral:misc_RNA from 1 species